rnacentral:rRNA from 1 species
UUUUAUGGAGAGUUUGAUCCUGGCUCAGGAUGAACGCUGGCGGCGUGCCUAAUACAUGCAAGUCGAGCGAACGGACGAGAAGCUUGCUUCUCUGAUGUUAGCGGCGGACGGGUGAGUAACACGUGGAUAACCUACCUAUAAGACUGGGAUAACUUCGGGAAACCGGAGCUAAUACCGGAUAAUAUUUUGAACCGCAUGGUUCAAAAGUGAAA